UUUCUCCCUGUCAUGAAAGAAUUAAAGACAACAUCUUGGGGCCUGUACACCUUGCAGAGGGCAUUUCCCUCGUGGGUUGGCAGGACUGAGGACCAAGCCAGUCCCCUCUGCCUGGAGUUGGAGUUGCUGGUCCCCUCACAACACAGGGAGCUGUGAGAGGCCAGGUGGCACUGACUAAUCCCUGUAUCUUGGAAGAGCUGGUCUCACUCCACAUGAGACAGGGUCUCUAGAGGCUGUCAUUUCAACAUGGUCCCAGUGGGGAAGGAUGAGCUGUGAACACGGGAUGCAAGUGCGUCAGGGCAAGACAAGCCACGCUCUGCAGAGUCUGCUGGGCCCCACCUGGGGUCCACUGGAGAGGAAGGAGCAC
rnacentral:lncRNA from 1 species